AUCAACGCUGGCGGCGGUGCCUAACACAUGCAAGUCGAACGCGAAAGUCCCGCAAGGGAUCAGUAGAGUGGCAAACGGGUGAGUAACACGUGGGUGACCUGCCUUCGAGUGGGGGGAUAACGUCCCGAAAGGGUCGCUAAUACCGCAUGACAUCCCGACGUUGAACAGUCGGACAUCAAAGCUGGGGAUCGCAAGACCUAGCGCUCGGAGAGGGGCCCGCGCCUGAUUAUGCUAGUUGGGUGGGGGGUAAUGGCUCACCAAGGCUUCGAUCAGUAGCCGGCCUGAGAGGGCGGACGGCCACACUGGGACUGAGACACGGCCCAGACUCCUACGGGGAGGCAGCAGUGGGAAUUGUUCGCAAUGGGCGCAAGCCUGACGACGCAACGCCGCGUGGAGGAUGAAGAUCUUCGGGUCGUAAACUCCUUUCGAUCGAGACGAACGGCCCCUGGGCUAAUCACCAGGGAGAGUGACGGUACCGAGAGAAGAAGCCCCGGCUAACUCCGUGCCAGCAGCCGCGGUAAUACGGGGGGGCAAGCGUUGUUCGGAAUUACUGGGCGUAAAGGGCGCGUAGGCGGUUGGAAUAAGUCAGCUGUGAAAACCUCGGGCUUAACUCGAGGCCUGCAGUUGAAACUGUCUAGCUGGAGUGUGGGAGAGGAGAGUGGAAUUCCCGGUGUGUGUAGCGGUGAAAUGCGUAGAUAUCGGGAGGACCACCGGUGGCGAAGGCGGCUCUCUGGACCACUACUGACGCUGAGGCGCGAAAGCUAGGGGAGCAAACAGGAUUAGAUACCCUGGUAGUCCUAGCUGUAAACGAUGGAUACUUGGUGUGGGGGUGUUAAAUCCCCCUGUGCCGAAGCUAACGCAUUAAGUAUCCCGCUGGGGAGUACUGGUCGCAAGUCUGAAGCUCAAAGGAAUUGACGGGGGCCCGCACAAGCGGUGGAGCAUGUGGUUCAAUUCGACGCAACGCGAAGAACCUUACCUGGGCUUGAACUGGAGUGGAAGCAGGCAGAGAUGCCUGUGUCCUUUUCGGGACUGCUCUAGAGGUGCUGCAUGGCUGUCGUCAGCUCGUGUCGUGAGAUGUUGGGUUAAGUCCCGCAACGAGCGCAACCCUCGUGGUCUGUUGGACUUUUCAGACCAGACUGCCUACAAAUAGGAGGAAGGUGGGGAUGACGUCAAGUCCGCAUGGCUCUUACGUCUAGGGCUACACACACGCUACAAUGGCCGGGACAAUGCGCAGCCACGGGCAACCCGGAGCGAAUCGCCAAACCCGGUCUCAGUUCGGAUGGCAGGCUGCAACUCGCCUGCCUGAAGUCGGAGUUGCUAGUAACCGCAUGUCAGCACAGUGCGGUGAAUAUGUUCCCGGGCCUUGUACACACCGCCCGUCACGUCAUGAAAGCUGGUCACGCUUUGAAGUCCGUGGGCCAACCGCAAGGAGGCAGCGGCCGAGAGUGGGGCGGGUGAUUGGGACG
rnacentral:rRNA from 1 species